AACGAACGCUGGCGGCGGGCCUCAUACAUGCAAGUCGAGCGCGAAAGUCCGCAAGGAUGAGUAAAGCGGCGCACGGGUGAGUAACACGUGGAUAAUCUACCCUUUGGAUUGGAAUAACCUGUCGAAAGACGGGCUAAUGCCAAGUAAGCUUACGAGUUCGUGAAGUUCUUGUAAGGAAGAUGGCGCAAGCAAUCGCCGAAGGAUGAGUCUGCGUCCCAUUAGUUAGNGGUGGGGUAAUGGCUUACCAAGACAAUGAUGGGUACCUGGUCUGAGCGGAUGACCAGGCACACUGGAACUGAAACACGGGUCCAGACUCCUACGGGAGGCAGCAGUAGGGAAUAUUGCGCAAUGGACGAAAGUCUGACGCA
rnacentral:rRNA from 1 species